UGGGGAAUAUUGCACAAUGGGGGAAACCCUGAUGCAGCGAUGCCGCGUGAGCGAAGAAGUAUUUCGGUAUGUAAAGCUCUGUCAGCAGGGAAGAAAAUGACGGUACCUGACCAAGAAGCUCCGGCUAAAUACGUGCCAGCAGCCGCGGUAAUACGUAUGGAGCAAGCGUUAUCCGGAUUUACUGGGUGUAAAGGGAGCGCAGGCGGCGGGGCAAGUCUGAUGUGAAAACCCGGGGCUCAACCCCGGGACUGCAUUGGAAACUGUCCUGCUAGAGUGUCGGAGGGGUAAGUGGAAUUCCUAGUGUAGCGGUGAAAUGCGUAGAUAUUAGGAGGAACACCGGUGGCGAAGGCGGCUUACUGGACGACAACUGACGCUGAGGCUCGAAAGCGUGGGGAGCAAACA
rnacentral:rRNA from 1 species